GCGGGUGUGGUGAAACGAUUAUCACAUCAGCCUUCCAAGCUGAGGUUACGGGUUUGAUUCCCGUCACCCGCACCA
rnacentral:tRNA from 1 species